UUGAAUUUGUAACGGUCGAAAAAUCUUGAUGUGAUUGUGAAAAUUUGAAAUUUAUAGGUCCCCGUUGGAUGAAAGGAUAAAGUUUUCUGGAAAAGGACAAAAGUAAGAGCCUUUUAUGGGAGAAGGAUAUGAGACAAAGCUGUUGCAGUUUGAAUUAUCUUACAUAAUGAUGGAAAACAUCUUCCAGGAGAACUAGUUGGGAUAUGCUACGAUCAGUAUUGCCUUCAAAAAAAAACAAAAAUUAUCUUACAUACUGAUAUAAAGAAAAUAGGCCUUUUUGGUACGACUUCAAAUUUUCAUGUAUACUUUCUAUGCAGUCUGUCGGAUCAGAUUACUUAAAAACACGGAAAUUGAUUACAGCCGUCCAUCUGAUCUCUUACUCACAACAACCGAUAUUUCUUCCCAACGAGACGAAAACAAACUCUAUUGUGUUCUUCUCCCUAACAUCCGUCACAUUUGAAAAUUCUCCUCACAGGCUACACAAUAAUGAAAAUAGAAAAAUUAGGUAUUAACGAAUCAACCGAUCACAAUCGAAGUUAAAUUUCUACUUCUCUUCACUUGGGUGGAUUCAGCUGAUUUGGAUUCACAACUUUGGAGUUUCUAAAGAUCCAGAAUUCAAGUAGGUUAUCAAGUAUCUCUCGCAGUUCAAGUGGUUAUAACAAUAGGGUGUGGCAACAUUUGCUAGAGCCCUAGGGUCAUAAAACAACUUCGGCCUCUAGCAUUAGCAGGUACACUGAUUGAAAGAGGCAAGAAGCGUCAAUCUAAAACUGUCCGAGAAUUACGGCACUGGAAAUAAAAGAAGCAAGAAGUGUCGUGAAUUCCACCUACAACAAAGACAACUUCAUCAACUACCGGGUUUCCUUUAUCAUAUUAGAAACAAUGUAAGAGCUUUAUCUUCAAUGCAACUUGGACGUCGUUGCCGGUUCAAGUGGCAGGCACAUUUGCGAGUCCGUCUUUAUUAAGAUGUGUGUUCGACUGUAUCAUCUGGACCGAGAACAUUGUAAACCAAGUAAAAAUUAUCCUCAUCACAAGUGCCUGGAGCUUUUGGCUGAAAUAACAGGCAGAUUGUGUGUGCGUUAUUGCAUCCGUUUUGGAUCGGACACCCACUAGCCGUCUGUUCAAGGGGCAGGCGCAUCGCGCGUGAGUGUUAUACUAGUAAAUAUAAUCAGUAUUUUUUUCUUUCAAAUACUAGUAUUUUUAUGGCAACUAGCAAAAAAUGCAUGCGCGAUGAGAGUGUCGGUCCUGUUCCAGUUACGAAUUUUUCACUCGACAAGUUUUCAAAUUAUUGGAAUCAGAUAAGCAAUACGUUUAUAGCUUGAACUUAUCUCUUAUCACGUGUAAUUUAGUGUGGUGAACUCAAUAUUUUUAGUUUAAAAAAACAUACAUGUCGAGUUUUAAGCGUCUAAUCAUCUAACAUAUAGUUAAAUACUAUGUUAUACUUUUCACUAUA